GAAUGGUGUGAGGUGCUAUGGAAGUAAAGGUCUGUCGAGUGGGGUACAGCAUCGCAUGGUGGCCCUGGACUCACUGCAAGUCAGCAGGGCUGGAAAUCGGGAAAUAAAGACAGGGAAGCUCCUGGGGGUAAUCUUGAGACAGAUGAACCAAGUCUGGAGACCCACCUGCAAAGUUCCAGAGAUGACUUCAAGGUGGCGAGUCAACAGCCUCACCAUUGUUGAGAUGACACCAGCCCGUGAUCCAGCUUCCACACAACAGCCCUGAUGUUUACCAGCAGGCGUCUCUUGUUUAGUCUCAUUGUCUUUGGCAAGUUCAAUCUCAACCAGAUUGUUGUUCUUCUCAAGAGGACUGAUCCCAGCAGGCUCCAGCCCUAAAGCGGACUGUUCGGGAGAUCUGUGUUAACUUUGUGUUUCAGUCCUCAGUCUCACGGUACUGGGUCCUACCGUGAGCGGAAAAUCCCUCUCUACAUCAGAACAGCCUUCUGGCCAUGCUACAGUCCUCGCUCAGAAACACGGCACACCAUAUAUAAAUAUGAUGGAUAAGCAGUGAGUGUGUAAAGACCUUGUGACUACUGAAUGUUUUGUAAAAGGUACGUAUCCAAAAUAAUUAAAAUCAGGACCUCAAAGAACUAUCUGCACUUCCAUGUUCAUUGCAGCAUUAUUCAUAAUAGCCCAAAUGUGGAAACCAUCUAAAUGCUCAUUGACAGAUGAAUGGAUAAAGAAAAUGUGGCACAUAUAUACCAUCAAAUAUUAUUUAGCCUUAAUACAGCAGAAAAUCCUGCCAUAUGCAAAAACAUGACUGAACCUACAGGAUGUUAUGGUACCAAAACAUCAUGCCUCGAAAUCAUUCAGGAUGCAUCUUUUUAAAAAAUCUCAGUGAGCAACGCUAAAGAAGAGAGACCACAAGUUCUAGACGUUUUCCUGUAUAAUUAAGAAGAAUCUGUUCAACAAACCCCCAUGACAUAAGCUUAUCUAUAUAACAAACCUGCACAUGUGCCCCUGAACCUAAAAUAAAAGCUUUUUUAAAAAAGAA
rnacentral:lncRNA from 1 species